rnacentral:rRNA from 1 species
CGGACGGGUGAGUAAUGUCUGGGAAACUGCCCGAUGGAGGGGGAUAACUACUGGAAACGGUAGCUAAUACCGCAUAACGUCGCAAGACCAAAGAGGGGACCUUCGGGCCUCUUGCCAUCGGAUGUGCCCAGAUGGGAUUAGCUAGUAGGUGGGGUAACGGCUCACCUAGGCGACGAUCCCUAGCUGGUCUGAGAGGAUGACCAGCCACACUGGAACUGAGACACGGCCAG